rnacentral:rRNA from 1 species
GGGGGUACACGAGUGGCGCACGGGUGAGUAACGCGUAUGCAACCUGCCCUGUACAGGGGGAUAGCCCGGAGAAAUCCGGAUUAAUACCCCAUAGUUUUUAUGAGUCGCAUGGCUUAUAAAAUAAAGUUUCGGCGGUACAGGAUGGGCAUGCGUGGCAUUAGCUAGUUGGUAAGGUAACGGCUUACCAAGGCGACGAUGCCUAGGGGUUCUGAGAGGAUGAUCCCCCACACUGGGACUGAGACACGGCCCAGACUCCUACGGGAGGCAGCAGUGAGGAAUAUUGGUCAAUGGGCGAGAGCCUGAACCAGCCAUCCCGCGUGCAGGAUGACGGCCCUACGGGUUGUAAACUGCUUUUAUGUACCAAGAAUGUGUUCUACGUGUAGGAUUUUGACGGUAGUACAUGAAUAAGCAUCGGCUAACUCCGUGCCAGCAGCCGCGGUAAUACGGAGGAUGCAAGCGUUAUCCGGAUUCAUUGGGUUUAAAGGGUGCGUAGGCGGCUAUAUAAGUCAGUGGUGAAAUGCUGCAGCUCAACUGUAGAACUGCCAUUGAAACUGUAUAGCUUGAGUGCGCCUGAGGUAGGCGGAAUGAGUAGUGUAGCGGUGAAAUGCUUAGAUAUUACUCAGAACACCGAUUGCGAAGGCAGCUUACUAAAGCGUAACUGACGCUGAUGCACGAAAGCGUGGGGAGCGAACAGGAUUAGAUACCCUGGUAGUCCACGCCGUAAACGAUGAUAACUCGCUGUUGGCGAUACACAGUCAGCGGCUUAGCGAAAGCAUUAAGUUAUCCACCUGGGGAGUACGAUCGCAAGGUUGAAACUCAAAGGAAUUGACGGGGGCCCGCACAAGCGGAGGAACAUGUGGUUUAAUUCGAUGAUACGCGAGGAACCUUACCUGGGCUUAAAUGUGGAUUGACC